rnacentral:rRNA from 1 species
CGUGUAGGCGGCAGGGCAAGUCGGAUGUGAAAUCCCAUGGCUCAACCAUGGAAGUGCACCCGAAACUGCCCAGCUAGAGUCUCGGAGAGGAAGGUGGAAUGCUUGGUGUAGAGGUGAAAUUCGUAGAUAUCAAGCGGAACACCGGUGGCGAAGGCGGCCUUCUGGACGAUGACUGACGCUGAGACGCGAAAGCGUGGGGAGCAAACAGGAUUAGAUACCCUGGUAGUCCACGCCGUAAACGAUGAGUGCUAGGUGUCACGGGCUUUGACCCUCGUGGUGCCGAAGCUAACGCGAUAAGCACUCCGCCUGGGGAGUACGGCCGCAAGGCUAAA